rnacentral:rRNA from 1 species
UACGUAGGGGGCAAGCGUUGUCCGGAAUCAUUGGGCGUAAAGCGCGCGUAGGCGGCCCGGUAAGUCCGCUGUGAAAGUCGGGGGCUCAACCCUCGGAUGCCGGUGGAUACUGUCGGGCUUGAGUGCGGAAGAGGCGAGUGGAAUUCCCGGUGUAGCGGUGAAAUGCGCAGAUAUCGGGAGGAACACCCGUAGCGAAGGCGGCACUCUGGGCCGGUACUGACGCUGAGGAGCGAAAGCGUGGGGAGCAAACAGG